UGGGGAAUAUUGCGCAAUGGGGGAAACCCUGACGCAGCGACGCCGCGUGCGGGAUGAAGGCCUUCGGGUUGUAAACCGCUUUUGAUUGGGAGCAAGCUUUCGGGUGAGUGUACCUUUCGAAUAAGCGCCGGCUAACUACGUGCCAGCAGCCGCGGUAAUACGUAGGGCGCAAGCGUUAUCCGGAAUUAUUGGGCGUAAAGAGCUUGUAGGCGGUUCGUCGCGUCUGGUGUGAAAGCCCAUCGCUUAACGGUGGGUUUGCGCCGGGUGCGGGCGGGCUAGAGUGCAGUAGGGGAGACUGGAAUUCCCGGUGUAACGGUGGAAUGUGUAGAUAUCGGGAAGAACACCAAUGGCGAAGGCAGGUCUCUGGGCUGUUACUGACGCUGAGAAGCGAAAGCGUGGGGAGCGAACAGG
rnacentral:rRNA from 1 species